CAGUCUGCAUCCAAGCAGUCCUUCCCCACAAGGCUCCUUCCCCCUACCUGAUCUGGGUCCACAGCUGCUGCCUCCUCUCCACCACUAUGAAAAGAUGAAGGAGCAGGUCUUGCUGGCAUCAUUCGGUCUCCUGGGAGAGAAAUAUAAGAGGGAAACUGCAGAGAAGAAAAAUGGCGAAAACUGAUUAUUUAUUGGGAUAGUGUGAUUUUUGCAGCUGCUGUUAAAGUUGCCAAACAACGAAGCACAGGACAGAGCGAUGGAGAAUUUCUGAAACCACAAUGGGAUAUUAGCUCCGCCCAAGGAUUGAUGGAGAACAGCAACAACCAGGAAAAGAUAGACAGAACAUUUUACAAGGACAGGAAAAAACAUCACGAACAGGAAGAUUGCCACACACAGGAAGAGUAAGGAUAUCGCUGGAGUGCCUCACUUGUAGUUUUAUAUAUUAUUUGAUGUUUCAAUACAAAUGGAAGUCAUUAAUAUUGCAGGUGUUGUAUAAAGGAUUGUUAUCUUGA